GAUGAACGCUAGCGGCAGGCUUAAUACAUGCAAGUCGAGGGGCAGCACAGAUAGCAAUAUUGGGUGGCGACCGGCAAACGGGUGCGGAACACGUACACAACCUUCCUUUUAGUGUGGGAUAGCCCAGAGAAAUUUGGAUUAAUACCACAUAGUAUAUUGGAGUGGCAUCACUUUGAUAUUAAAGAUUUAUCGCUAAAAGAUGGGUGUGCGUAUGAUUAGGUAGUUGGUAGAGGUAACGGCUCACCAAGCCUUCGAUCAUUAACUGGUGUGAGAGCACGACCAGUCACACGGGCACUGGGACACGGGCCCGACUCCUACGGGAGGCAGCAGUAAGGAAUAUUGGUCAAGGGGCGGAAGUCUGAACCAGCCAUGCCGCGUGAAGGAUGACGGCCCUCUGGGUUGUAAACUUCUUUUAUGUGGGACGAAAAAGGGCCAUUUUUGGUCAACUGACGGUACCAUAGGAAUAAGCACCGGCUAACUCCGUGCCAGCAGCCGCAGUAAAAC
rnacentral:rRNA from 1 species